GGUAGCGGGGGAUAGCCCGGAGAAAUCCGGAUUAAUACCGCAUAAUCUCUACGGAGCAAAGUGGGGGAUCUUCGGACCUCACGCUAUUAGAUGAGCCCGCGUUAGAUUAGCUUGUUGGUGAGGUAAUGGCUCACCAAGGCAACGAUCUAUAGCUGGUUUGAGAGGAUGAUCAGCCACACUGGGACUGAGACACGGCCCAG
rnacentral:rRNA from 1 species